GAUGAACGCUAGCUACAGGCUUAACACAUGCAAGUCGAGGGGUAACGAGAGGAAAGCUUGCUUUCCUUGUCGACGACCGGCGCACGGGUGAGUAACGCGUAUCCAACCUGCCCCCAACUAGGGAAUAACCUUGCGAAAGUAAGACUAAUACCCUAUAAUUUCCUCAGAUGACAUCUGACGAGGAAUAAAGAUUUAUUGGUUGUGGAUGGGGAUGCGUCUGAUGAGCUUGUUGGCGGGGUAACGGCCCACCAAGUCAACGAUCAGUAGGGGUUCUGGGAGGAAGGUCCCCCACAUUGGAACUGAGACACGGUCCAAACUCCUACGGGAGGCAGCAGUGAGGAAUAUUGGUCAAUGGGCGGAAGCCUGAACCAGCCAAGUAGCGUGCAGGAUGACGGCCCUAUGGGUUGUAAACUGCUUUUAUACAGGAAUAAAGUUAGCCACGUGUGGUUAUUUGUAGGUACUGUAUGAAUAAGGACCGGCUAAUUCCGUGCCAGCCGCCGCAGUAA
rnacentral:rRNA from 1 species